GAUGGAAACACUUUGGAUCAGAAGCAUUCACAAGUCAGCACGUCCAACCCUUGUUCCGGGUCAGAAGCAGAAGCAAAAAUCAGAGAUGAUGACAAGGCUCUGCGAAUUCUGGGUGAAGAAAGAGCUUCGUUGACGUGGUGUACCCCAUGGAACUUCUUGCUUUCCAGCUGACAACGUCUUCUGUUUAAAAAACACACCAAAUAAACAAACAAAAACCCCUUGUGCUUCCAAUCAAGACUGAAGCUGAGAAAUUUUCCUGACGGGGUGAAAGCUGUAGCAUGCAUGGCCUGUUAGAUGUGCAUUCUUUGUUUGGACACACAGUCAGUGAGCAGAGCACGGAUUGUUUGUGAAGUGGCCUUCGGACUUCAACCCAGGACUGUGGAGAAAAGAAAGCAG